GACGACAGUUCACACACUGUUUCCACUGGAGAGGUUGGGUGGUGGUCCAGCAAUCCAUCAUGUCGUGUGGGACGCUCACACAACAGACGUCAGAAGACAUGUUUUCCAUGGUCAGCUGGCCGCCGACCUCACAGAGCGUGUGAUUCCCACACAGCACUGAGAACAUGACCUGGGCCAUGUCCAUAAACAUCCCCAGGAGGUCACUCAAGGUCAUACCACACAACCGCUGUGUACUGGCACCGGGACUUCAGCUUUGUGACAUGGAGCAGUGUCCUACUGGAAGUAACCAUUGGAAGAUAGUGAACUGUGGCCAUGAAGGGAUGAACAUAAACAGCAACAAUACUCCUCAGCACAAAUCCAGAUCCAUCCUAUGGAAAUGUAAUAUAUGACAUAUGUGUGCCUAUCAAGAGUGAUGUUGCCAUAUCUGUCACCUACUGUAUAAGGGGAUAUAUUGCUAUUACAUAUAAACUUCCUCUGGAUACAAGAUAUAAGUUUAUAACAUACAUGAAAUAUCCAUAGUAAAAUUUACAUAUAUUAAAAAUCUAUCUGAUACAUUUUUAUACGGUAUGACAUGUAAUAUGUAUAUUAUAUAUUAAAUUUAUAUAUGCAAGUUUAUUAAAACAACAUAU